rnacentral:tRNA from 1 species
GCGGGAGUAGCACAGGGCAGUGCGGCGGGCUUGAAAUCCGCGGUCGUGGUUCGACUCCACGCUCCCGAU